rnacentral:rRNA from 1 species
AUGAAUAUCCUAUGUCUUAACUGUCGGGGUUGCGGGCGGCCCGAGACAGUUAAUGAAAUAAGCAACUUAGUUAAGUUGUAUCACCCGUGCUUAGCCUUUCUCUCGGAGACUAAGCUGUCUACUACGAGAGCUCAGGACUUGCGAUUCAGGCUCGGUUUCUCCAAUGCUUUUGGUGUUGGAAGUAAUGGACUCAGUGGCGGUUUGGUUCUUUUUUGGAACAAUGAUUCAGUAGUGAGUUUGGAAUCUUAUAACAAUUCC